UGGGGAAUAUUGGACAAUGGGCGAAAGCCUGAUCCAGCCAUGCCGCGUGUGUGAAGAAGGUCUUCGGAUUGUAAAGCACUUUAAGUUGGGAGGAAGGGCAGUUACCUAAUACGUAAUUGUUUUGACGUUACCGACAGAAUAAGCACCGGCUAACUCUGUGCCAGCAGCCGCGGUAAUACAGAGGGUGCAAGCGUUAAUCGGAAUUACUGGGCGUAAAGCGCGCGUAGGUGGUUCGUUAAGUUGGAUGUGAAAUCCCCGGGCUCAACCUGGGAACUGCAUUCAAAACUGUCGAGCUAGA
rnacentral:rRNA from 1 species